GACGAACGCUGGCGGCGUGCCUAAUACAUGCAAGUCGAGCGCAGGAAGUCGACGGAACCCUUCGGGGGGAAGUCGACGGAAUGAGCGGCGGACGGGUGAGUAACACGUAAAGAACCUGCCCUCAGGUCUGGGAUAACCACGAGAAAUCGGGGCUAAUACCGGAUGGGUCAUCGGACCGCAUGGUCCGAGGAUGAAAGGCGCUCCGGCGUCGCCUGGGGAUGGCUUUGCGGUGCAUUAGCUAGUUGGUGGGGUAAUGGCCCACCAAGGCGACGAAGCAUAGCCGACCUGAGAGGGUGAUCGGCCACGCUGGGACUGAGACACGGCCCAGACUCCUACGGGAGGCAGCGGUAGGGAAUCUUCCACAAUGGACGAAAGUCUGAUGGAGCAACGCCGCGUGAACGAUGAAGGCCUUCGGGUCGUAAAGUUCUGUUGUAAGGGAAGAACAAGUGCCGCAGGCAAUGGCGGCACCUUGACGGUACCUUGCGAGAAAGCCACGGCUAACUACGUGCCAGCCGCCGCAGUAACAC
rnacentral:rRNA from 1 species